UGAAGUAAAAUUAGUCAACAGGAUAAUCACUUUCAAAAAAGAAUCAUCGUUAAAGUGUACAGUAACCACAGCAUGACAGAAAAGUAGAAAGGCGUUUCUCUGAUCAACUCAGGAUGACAUAACUUUAAGGUAUACCACAACAAACCUCUAAACUCUUCAAACCCGGGCAACUGGACACGACAGACAAAACUUUCCCAACUGCGGUAAUUCAAAGGCGUCAAUGACAGUGCGGUGGAAUUCAGGGGGAUUUUAGCACUCUGAUACCCUUCUGCAGUGAGUGCUACAUCUGGUCAGGGACCCAUCAUAACCACACUCGCCCUUUGAAAGACACAUCCCAGCCUCUCCAACUAGGACGCUGGCCUUUUCUUCCCGAAUGAACCCGGCCUCACAAAGAGCACAAAUAACUUUUCAUAAGAAGGCACGGCCCCAGAGUGCAAACAGGCCCUUUCUGGUGCCAAGGGAGUUCCUAUGCUUCCCGAUGCCGUCCAAGCUGACUCUACGCCUUCCUUCCUGUCCCUUGGAGAAGAGCAGCGCUGCGAUCGGUAGCAGUACAAGAUUCAGAGGUUCUCAACAAUGGCAAAACAAGACCGAAGGGGCUUGGAUCUCAGAAUCAAGUACACGGAGGAAAGGCUCCAACUGACCAAGAACACUCACAAAAAGCACUUUUUUGGGACAAGAAAUAAACUUCAGUUACAUCAA